AGCCUCUUUUAUGGGGUGACUGCGUACCUUUUGUAUAAUGGGUCAGCGACUUAUAUUCUGUAGCAAGGUUAACCGAAUAGGGGAGCCGAAGGGAAACCGAGUCUUAACUGGGCGUUAAGUUGCAGGGUAUAGACCCGAAACCCGGUGAUCUAGCCAUGGGCAGGUUGAAGGUUGGGUAACACUAACUGGAGGACCGAACCGACUAAUGUUGAAAAAUUAGCGGAUGACUUGUGGCUGGGGGUGAAAGGCCAAUCAAACCGGGAGAUAGCUGGUUCUCCCCGAAAGCUAUUUAGGUAGCGCCUCGUGAAUUCAUCUCCGGGGGUAGAGCACUGUUUCGGCAAGGGGGUCAUCCCGACUUACCAACCCGAUGCAAACUGCGAAUACCGGAGAAUGUUAUCACGGGAGACACACGGCGGGUGCUAACGUCCGUCGUGAAGAGGGAAACAACCCAGACCGCCAGCUAAGGUCCCAAAGUCAUGGUUAAGUGGGAAACGAUGUGGGAAGGCCCAGACAGCCAGGAUGUUGGCUUAGAAGCAGCCAUCAUUUAAAGAAAGCGUAAUAGCUCACUGGUCGAGUCGGCCUGCGCGGAAGAUGUAACGGGGCUAAACCAUGCACCGAAGCUGCGGCAGCGACGCUUAUGCGUUGUUGGGUAGGGGAGCGUUCUGUAAGCCUGUGAAGGUGUACUGUGAGGUAUGCUGGAGGUAUCAGAAGUGCGAAUGCUGACAUAAGUAACGAUAAAGCGGGUGAAAAGCCCGCUCGCCGGAAGACCAAGGGUUCCUGUCCAACGUUAAUCGGGGCAGGGUGAGUCGACCCCUAAGGCGAGGCCGAAAGGCGUAGUCGAUGGGAAACAGGUUAAUAUUCCUGUACUUGGUGUUACUGCGAAGGGGGGACGGAGAAGGCUAUGUUGGCCGGGCGACGGUUGUCCCGGUUUAAGCGUGUAGGCUGGUUUUCCAGGCAAAUCCGGAAAAUCAAGGCUGAGGCGUGAUGACGAGGCACUACGGUGCUGAAGCAACAAAUGCCCUGCUUCCAGGAAAAGCCUCUAAGCAUCAGGUAACAUCAAAUCGUACCCCAAACCGACACAGGUGGUCAGGUAGAGAAUACCAAGGCGCUUGAGAGAACUCGGGUGAAGGAACUAGGCAAAAUGGUGCCGUAACUUCGGGAGAAGGCACGCUGAUAUGUAGGUGAAGCGACUUGCUCGUGGAGCUGAAAUCAGUCGAAGAUACCAGCUGGCUGCAACUGUUUAUUAAAAACACAGCACUGUGCAAACACGAAAGUGGACGUAUACGGUGUGACGCCUGCCCGGUGCCGGAAGGUUAAUUGAUGGGGUUAGCGGUAACGCGAAGCUCUUGAUCGAAGCCCCGGUAAACGGCGGCCGUAACUAUAACGGUCCUAAGGUAGCGAAAUUCCUUGUCGGGUAAGUUCCGACCUGCACGAAUGGCGUAAUGAUGGCCAGGCUGUCUCCACCCGAGACUCAGUGAAAUUGAACUCGCUGUGAAGAUGCAGUGUACCCGCGGCAAGACGGAAAGACCCCGUGAACCUUUACUAUAGCUUGACACUGAACAUUGAGCCUUGAUGUGUAGGAUAGGUGGGAGGCUUUGAAGUGUGG
rnacentral:rRNA from 1 species